rnacentral:rRNA from 1 species
AUUGAACGCUGGCGGAAUGCUUUACACAUGCAAGUCGAACGGCAGCACGGGGGCAACCCUGGUGGCGAGUGGCGAACGGGUGAGUAAUACAUCGGAACGUGCCCAGUCGUGGGGGAUAACGUAGCGAAAGUUACGCUAAUACCGCAUACGAUCUACGGAUGAAAGCGGGGGACCGUAAGGCCUCGCGCGAUUGGAGUGGCCGAUGUCAGAUUAGGUAGUUGGUGAGGUAAAGGCUCACCAAGCCGACGAUCUGUAGCUGGUCUGAGAGGACGACCAGCCACACUGGGACUGAGACACGGCCCAGAAUCCUACGGGAGGCAGCAGUGGGGAAUUUUGGACAAUGGGCGCAAGCCUGAUCCAGCCAUUCCGCGUGCAGGAUGAAGGCCAUCGGGUUGUAAACUGCUUUUGUACAGAACGAAAAGGUUUCUACUAAUACUAGGAGCUCAUGACGGUACUGUAAGAAUAAGCACCGGCUAACUACGUGCCAGCCGCCGCGGUAA